GAGUUUGAUCAUGGCUCAGANCCUUUUACUGGCGGCAGGCCUAACACAUGCAAGUCGAGCGGANACGAGUUAACUGAACCUUCGGGGAACGUUAACGGCGUCGAGCGGCGGACGGGUGAGUAAUGCCUGGGAAAUUGCCCUGAUGUGGGGGAUAACCAUUGGAAACGAUGGCUAAUACCGCAUAAUAGCUUCGGCUCAAAGAGGGGGACCUUCGGGCCUCUCGCGUCAGGAUAUGCCCAGGUGGGAUUAGCUAGUUGGUGAGGUAAUGGCUCACCAAGGCGACGAUCCCUAGCUGGUCUGAGAGGAUGAUCAGCCACACUGGAACUGAGACACGGUCCAGACUCCUACGGGAGGCAGCAGUGGGGAAUAUUGCACAAUGGGCGCAAGCCUGAUGCAGCCAUGCCGCGUGUAUGAAGAAGGCCUUCGGGUUGUAAAGUACUUUCAGCAGUGAGGAAGGUAUCGUAGUUAAUAGCUGCGGUAUUUGACGUUAGCUGCAGAAGAAGCACCGGCUAACUCCGUGCCAGCAGCCGCGGUAAUACGGAGGGUGCGAGCGUUAAUCGGAAUUACUGGGCGUAAAGCGCAUGCAGGUGGUUUGUUAAGUCAGAUGUGAAAGCCCGGGGCUCAACCUCGGAAUUGCAUUUGAAACUGGCAGACUAGAGUACUGUAGAGGGGGGUAGAAUUUCAGGUGUAGCGGUGAAAUGCGUAGAGAUCUGAAGGAAUACCGGUGGCGAAGGCGGCCCCCUGGACAGAUACUGACACUCAGAUGCGAAAGCGUGGGGAGCAAACAGGAUAANAUACCCUGGUAGUCCACGCCGUAANCGAUGUCUACUUGGANGUUGUGGCCUUGAGCCGNGGCUUUCGGANCUAACGCNUUAAGUAAACCCCNUGGGGNUACGGUCCCAAAUUAAACUCNAAUGAUUGACGGGGNCCCCC
rnacentral:rRNA from 1 species